UGUAUGAGAGAAUAAACAAACUUACUCAGACUGAAGAGUAUGUUUUCAAAAAUUAAAGAAGUAGCAAUUAUAUGGGAGCUGUUAUUUAUUAAAGCAAUUAUCUGAGCCCUUAAAGGGCUGUUUGUUUUUACAAUGUUGUAUAAUGGCCUUGCAGGAAAAUUAGAUUUCUUAUUCUCUCUUCCAGUGUACAUUGUCUUGAGUAUUGUCACAUUUAGAGACCAUAGGGAGACAUGGGACUCCUAGUAUUCAGUCGACACUCCGAACAGAUUUUCUGUGUGAUACAUUUUUUCAUUUUAAUUGAGUCCCCUCUUCCUCCCCUCCAACUGAUAGCUUUUUAUAACUGUGUGAAAUAUCUAGAGAAGAAUGAAGUAGGCUGAGCUACAUUUUCAAGCUUAACAUUCUUUAGAAAACUAAGAAAAUGCCCAAUAUUUCAACAUUAAGUGUCAAUAGGGGCUAAAUGAUCACUUUAAGAUGUUUUCAGUUUGGAACUUGAAUGUGUGUUUAAUUUUUUGUGAACAGAUUGAUGACUCUUCCGCGUCUAUUUCUCUGGCCCAGCUUACAAAGGUAUAUAUAUAUUCUUGAAAAUAUAAGUUUUUUUCUAACAUCAUAUUUUUUUAUGUGGAACGGUUUUUUAAGAGGGGUUGGGGGAGGAUAUAUUUUGCAAAAGCAUUGUACAUAUUAUUACUAUCCUGUAAAGAGUAGUUGCUGUUUUGAGAAGAUAGGGGAAUACUUUGUCAGCCUCAGCGUAUUGGAGUAUUGUUCAUCUUCAAGACAGAAGAAACACUUGAAGCUACACUUAAUUAUUUUUUUUUCCCUCAUACAUUUUGUUUAAUUAUACAUUGGAAACUAACAAGGUUCUGGAGGAAUUUCCUGGUUUUGGCUAUAAAUUAUGUGGACCUUUUUUAAGCAGCCAAAACAGAAGAUUUCCUUUACACGGACGAUUGCAUGGUUAUUUCUUGAAUAUUUGACUUGGUCCCAUGAAGGUCAAUAUUUUAAAUGUGAUGCAGUUGUUUCUUUAUGCUAUAGACUUGUAGUCUGUCUGCAUUAGGAAAAGUUUUGAACAACCUAAUUUGUUUGAACACAGACUACAUGAAUUGUGUAAGUGUGUAAAGCUGUUUGCAGGAAUAUACCAAUGUGUAUGUUUGGCAGAGGGGCAAAUUGUUACCUCCUGAAUCACUGUAUAUGCCAUGUUUUGCGAUAAGAUUGCUUGCAUUUUCUGCUCAACAAUGUGUAUCUUCUGUUUGGGAAAGCACUAGUGAUGGAUUACUUUUUAAAGCAAUACAUUUAGCUUGCAAAUUGUGCCUUUAAAAAAAAAAUAGGCAGACUUUGAGGGCCAAGAAGGAAGCUGUCCAGUUUUCCAAAAAUCCUUUUUCCCUGCUAUCAGAAAUGUGAAACCAAAUUUAGCAACCAAGAUUAAUGAAAAGAUGGGUUUUCCAUUAGUGCUGUCCCUAUCUUGUUCUUGGCUUUGUUAUGUCCUUUCCCCUAGACUGUAUCCCGACAAAAUGUCCUAGUAACAAAUUGCUUUUUAAGCUACUGUUCUGGGAAAACCAAGCAUUAAAAUUGAUUAUUCUAAAACAUAAAGUGGACUAAAGCCAUCCUAUUUUAUAAUUUUCUAAUGCAAAGUGGUUUAGUAUAGAGUUAACACUUAGAAGUUUAUAGUUUACUGUUUUUAUUCUUAUGUACUGUAAGGACCAUAUUUGAGUUUUUGGUCUAUUCCUACCAUUGUUUCUUUGUGGGGAGGAGUUGGGGAGGUUUGGGGGAUUGGUUUUUUUUGUUUUGUUUUUUUAAACUACAGGUAUUUGUAAAACAGUGUUUGGGUUCAAACAAAUUAGUUGUUAAACAUCUGUAAUCCAGUUUUCUGUAAAUGUUGCUGUUGUUCUAAGCUCUGUUAAUGUUAAGCAUUCUUUGUAUAUAAAAUUACAAUAAAAUGUUAAAACUG
rnacentral:sRNA from 1 species